UGAGAGAGGUCCCAGCCCCCGUCACUGGAUCCAUGAUCAGAACCCCUCAAUCCGGGCCACACCAUGGACCCCACUGAUGGGGCUAACGGGAUAUAGAGCACUACCUCUCU
rnacentral:misc_RNA from 1 species